AUGAUGGCUCCAUGUUGGAAUGAAAUGUUGCUACUGACUUGUUUUUAAACUGAUAAUUUCUAUUGGCUUUACUCCAUGAACCACAAGGAAAACACCUGGCAAGCUUCUUGAUCCCAGCCAGCUCUUGUUAACCUUGUGGCCUUCACAGUAACUAUCAGCAGGCACCAAUCAAAGAAAUUUUGCAAUGCUCUGCUGCCUUGGAUGGUGAUACUAAUCAUGAAAUGCGUUUAAGGACACGGCUACAUGAACUGAUUGUACAGAGGAGCACAUGGAGGAGCAAACACCUUGCCUGGAAGUCCCAUGUGGGUUACAGGAUGGGUUAGUAUUUCUGUCUUUCAGGCAUACAUGCUUCUUUGCUUCGUUUUCCAAUUCUUACCUAAAUGCCUUGGAUAUUUUAGGGGCAGAAUUAGCUGGAUAUUGAAGCACCAAUAACACAGUCCCCAUGGAACUGUGGUUUGGAUUUUUGGAUGUUUUAGAACAGGGAACACAAAUACCACUUCCUUAAUCAUACUGUAGGUGGAAGAUGCAAUGCUCUACUGGCAGUUGGUCCUCUUACCUGUUCAGAUGUUGCCACCUUCACAAUGUGUUUUCAGCAGGAAGGGAUUUCAUAUCGAUAUUGCAACCUGUCUGAAUUCCAACAAUUUUAAGAACUUGAAAUAUAAAGAUCCAUCAAAAUCAAGAUUAUCCUUUUAAAAACAGGUAUAAUGUAACAGUACUUUGCUCUUAAUCAUCUAGUGGAGUCUCUAAUAUGUGGGAACGUUUGGACCAGCAAGCAUAAUUACAUAGUGAAUGGAAUGAGGAGAUAUGUAUCAUUGCACCUGCCACAAGUCAGUGAGUUAAGAAGUCCCACAACAGAGUCCAACAUCUCACUACUUCCAGGGAGCGAAAUAAGGACUCAGGUGGAGGAACUGUAAAGGCAAGGGGAAAUAGUUCAUGUCAGCCCUGUUUCAAGAACUUACUGUCGUUAUUUAUUUCUCCUGUGAGCCUUGGCUCAGUUGGCAGCAUUAUUGCAGCUUUACUGUGGUGAGCUGUUGAGAGGUGGUAUCUUCCAAGACAAUAAAUCUUUACAGGGACAGGAAAACAUUAAUGCAGUACAUGCUGUUUGGGUGUUUAUAGUUUUGCUCUUUUUAAUUCUGUUUUGCAGAGAAGCUGUUGUUGUUGGGAAUGCUUAUACAGCUGCUGUCCUGCUUUCUAAAAAGAAAAGGCAUUUCUUACCUCUUUUUUCCCCCUAAGUUUGCUUUUUUUAAUCUCUCCUGAUCAAAACAUAGGCAGUGUAUUUCUGAUAGGAGAGCAUUUUAAAAAUGACUUGUGAACAGUGUGGACAGAGGAAUAAAAGGCCACAAUUACCUACAUUUUAUUUUACAUUAGAAGGUUUGUAUGGCAAUAGUCUCUAGUGAGACAGGAAAAUCAUUGCAUGGUGCACAUCUGACUUUCUGAAGAUCAUCAGGUUAUGACAGAUGAGCUAAUCAAAGACAAGAAAUGCUAAAUAUCUGCAAGUCUUUUAAGUCAGUUGUCUCAGAUUUGCAGGGUUAGCUGUGUGCCUAUAGCUUAAUGAAGAUAUUAAUUGUUUCAGUCAGUAUGAGUGAACUCAGAUAUGCCACUCUAACAAGUGCUUGUGUGUGGUCCCUUAGCCCACCGGUUUUGGUGCAAAUAGUUACAAACUGCAAAUUUGCACGUUUUCAUGGUGCUCGUGUUAGGAAAUCAGUUCUGCAGCUGUUAAUUUGCAUAACACCUCCUUUCUCCUAUUAAUGUUUCCUAUGUGGGGA